rnacentral:tRNA from 1 species
GGCACUAUGGCCGAGUGGUUAAGGCGAAAGACUCGAAUGUGUUUUAUUUAAACAAAUGAGUUCGGCUAUCUCUGGGGCUCUGCCCGCGCUGGUUCAAAUCCUGCUGGUGUCG